AAGGGCACCACAAGAACGCGUGGAGCAUGUGGCUUAACUUGACUCAACGCGGGAAAUCUUACCAGGUCCAGACACACUGAGGAUUGACAGGUAUAUUUUAUUUAUUUUUUGUAUUUAGUUACAUUUAAAUAUGUGAGUUCUUUCAUUAUUUUGUGGAAAGUGGUGCAUGGCCGUUUUUAGUUCGUGAAGUGAUUUGUUUGUUUAACUGCACUUCUUAUAGUAUUUGGAUUAGAAAGUUGUUAUUUAAUAUAUGUAUUUUUAUUAGAUGUUUUGGUAUUUUUGAUAUAUUUUUGUUUUAGUAGUAUUGUUAUUGAUAUAUUUAAGUAUGUAUUUAUUUUUCAAAUUUUUUGUUUGAAUGCUGAUAGCAACGAACGUGACCG
rnacentral:rRNA from 1 species